AAAGGGUGCGUAGGCGGCGAGGUAAGUCAGAUGUGAAAUCCCGGGGCUCAACCCCGGAACUGCAUUUGAUACUGCCUUGCUUGAGGACUGGAGAGGAGAUCGGAAUUCACGGUGUAGCAGUGAAAUGCGUAGAUAUCGUGAGGAAGGCCAGUGGCGAAGGCGGAUCUCUGGACAGUUCCUGACGCUGAGGCACGAAGGCCAGGGGAGCAAACGGGAUUAGAUACCCCUGU
rnacentral:rRNA from 1 species